UCCAGACUCCUACGGGAGGCAGCAGUGGGGAAUAUUGCACAAUGGGUGAAACCCUGAUGCAGCGACGCCGCGUGAGUGAAGAAGUAUUUCGGUACGUAAAGCUCUAUCAGCAGGGAAGAAAAAAAGUCCUUUGGACUUUGGACGGUACCUGACCAAGAAGCCCCGGCUAACUACGUGCCAGCAGCCGCGGUAAUACGUAGGGGGCAAGCGUUAUCCGGAUUUACUGGGUGUAAAGGGAGCGUAGACGGCAGCGCAAGUCUGGAGUGAAAUGCCGGGGCCCAACCCCGGGACUGCUCUUGGAACUGCGCGGCUGGAGUGCAGGAGGGGCAGGCGGAAUUCCUGGUGUAGCGGUGAAAUGCGUAGAUAUCAGGAGGAACACCGGUGGCGAAGGCGGCCUACUGGACUGCGACUGACGUUGAGGCCCGAAAGCGUGGGGAGCAAACAGGAUUAGAUACCCGCGUAU
rnacentral:rRNA from 1 species